ensembl:lncRNA
AGGCAGGAAAACUAGAGGCACGAGAAAGACGCGGGGCGGAGUCACAGCUGCCCUUAGAAGGUGACCCCGGCAAGAGGCAUCCACAGUGAUCUCUCAUGCCAGGAGGUGGGUCUCUGCUUUUCUCUGCACGAUUUGCCCAGGAAUGUCCACUCUGCCUCCAAAAGCCUGACUCGAAGACCUGGCAUGCAUGUGCGUGCGGGUUAAGUUGCCCCAGUCAUGUCUGACUCUUUGUGACCCCAUGAACCAUAACCUGCCAGGCUCCUUUGUCCAUGGGAUUCUCCAGGCAAGAAUACUGGAGUGGGUUGCCAUGCCCUCCUCCAGAGGAUCUUCCCAACCCAGGGAUCGAACCCAGAUCUCUUAUGUUUCCUGCAUUGGCAGGCAGAUUCUUUACCACUAGCACCACCUGGGAAGCCCGGCAGACCUGGCACCUGGAGCCAGCUUCCAUCAGAAUCAGGGAAGAAAUGAAAUGAGAAGGAACCGGCUGAGUUGAGGAGAAAGAGAUGCUGAGUUUAGGAAGCCUCAGUGCUCUUGCGGCUGUGGAUUGAAUAUGAUCCUCAGGCCUCAGACAAUAAACCAACCAACCCAGACAAUAAACGGGAAAGUGAAAGUCACUAAGUUGUUCCGACUCCUUGCAAUCCCAUAGACUAUUUAGUCCAUGGAAUUCUCCAGGCCAGAAUUACCAGGGUGGGUAGCCUUUCCCUUCUCCAGGGGAUCUUCCCAACCCAGGGAGCAAACCCAGGUUUCCCACAUUGCAGGCGGAUUCUUUACCAGCUGAGCCACAAGGGAAGCCCAGGCUGGCGUGGGUAGCCUAUCCCUUCUGCAGCAGAUCUUCCUGACCCAGGAGUCGAACCGGGGUCUCCUGCAUUGCAGGUGGAUGUUUUACCGACUGAGCUAGGAGGGAAGCCAGACAAUAAAAGCGGCAGACAUCUGGAGGUAGAGAUAACAGGUGAUGAGCAAGUACCCAUCUGAAGCAUCGCCUGUCCCUCAGCUCAGGUCAGACCUCUCCUCCCUCAGUGCCUGUUUCCUGGCCUGCAAAACCAGGACAACGUUAAAUCACUUCACUUAUUCCCUCCAUGAAUGAGUAUAGAGUCAGGCCCAGAGACUGGGGCCAAGAGCUAGGAAAACGAAAUACUACAGCCCUUCAACUAAAAGCACCUGUGCCUCCCUAUUGAGCCGUCUUCUGAGCUUGCAGAGGGCCUUCACGUCUGACCCCACCCAGCCCGGGAGGGAGGAAACCUCCAGAUGAAAACUCCAAGGAUGCGGGGCUUCAGUGCUCUGUCCACAGCUCCAUAACCACUCAUGGCUGGACCGGGCUAUGGAAUUGGGUCUCCAAGGCAUGUAGUUAUAGUGAGAAGACGGCCAUCUGUGAGGAAGUGGGUUCUCACCAGACACCCAACCUGCGGCACCUUGACCGUGGACUUCCAUCCUGCUCAUCGGAACCUGUGUCCUUGGAGAACUGAGCUUCCAUGCGUGAAAUCCCACUCUCCUAAGAUGACAUCCCCGAGAGACCAUGUGGCAAGCUCUGGAUGGCAGCCCCCGCCACGCCCAUGCUUCAGAGAGAGACCUGGUAGGUGAGCCAAGAAGACUUCUGGCCUCCAGAGUCCAGCCAUGGACGUCUCCCCAGGCACCGCAGAGCCAAGGAGGCCUGUGCCCUUCUGCAUUGCCUGCCCACCAUUUCCGUGACAUCAUGUGGUCAUUGCUUUACAUCCUGCAGUGUCAAUAGAGUUGUUCUGCAGCAAUGAAUCAAUCCCAACAAAGCCGGGCCUGAGCUAAGGACACUGGUCACACUGGUCUGGCCCCAGGUGCUGAGGAUGACUCUCCAGGGCAAGGUGGGAGAAAGUGGCUUGAGUGUCAGUCAUCCCAGCACCAGGAGAGACCUGCAGGGAACUUGGAAGCUCUGCAGCCAAGGAAGUGAGGCUACAGAUGAAAGCCAGAGUAGUGUCUGAUACCUGCAACUUAAUCUGCCUGGGGCAGAGUCCACUCACCCUGCUUAGAUAACUGAUCAAACCUGAUGCUGAUCCAUUUCAGAGACCGCAUCCCAGCCUUUUCACUGAUUCUCUGUGCUCCCCAGAACUCUUCCAGUAAAUGCCCUUUGCUUUGCCAAAAUUGCUUUCUGUUGCUUGCAACCAGAAAACCCCAACCGAAAUAAAAGUUAAGUUGCAAAUUACAAGGAUAUGUUCUAUUUAAUCCCAUGUUUGAAGAACUCACUUUUCAGAUGAUCAACAGUGUAGAAAAGAAUGAUGAUUUCCAUAGGAUGGAAAGAUGUAAUUAGGAAUUUUUUUUUUUUGGUCUUUAGGAGUGGCUUUUUUGUAUUGAAAAGAAUAUUCAGGAGCUACUUUGUACUUAAAGUUAAUACUCAGGUAAUUCAAAGCCUUGGUUUUCUUGAAGUUUUUAAGUUCAAUUUAGAAAUAAGUUCUAUUUAUAAAUCUUUCAAAUUUUCACAAAUGAUUUUAAGAACACUUUCAUAAUUUAAUUGAAUUCCUUUAAAUAUUUUUAGCUGUACUGAUAAAGCCAGCACACUCAAUUUCCUUUUUAAAGUAAGUCAGUGGCUGGCAAACCGAACAACUUUUCCAAGUACCUAAGAAAUUCUUAGAAAUCUAAUAAAAUUUAUCGAGAUGAUGAUUAAACUCUUCUACAUAUUCCUAUGUUGUUUAAAGACUAAAGCUGUCUUGGACAUUUCAGCUUAAAAUCUAGAUGAACUGCUCAGUCCUCUAAUAAGCCAAAUUCUCCAGAUUUUUUGCACUAGUCACUGCUGGGGCCCAGCUUUGCACAGACGAGGCCUGACAGCAUCUCCACCUGCAGUUCCUUGCUUUUCACCCUUGUCUUGCUCCUCAGUUCCAAGGCCAAGGACCCCUUGUGAGCCACUCACUGUUCCUGAACACACGCACCGACCCGGAAGUGUAAGGGAGUUGAGGUCAUGCGGGAGAACCCAGAAGCACUGGUUUCUUGCUCUGGUCUCCUCCACUGUCCCUUGAGCAGACCAUUCCCCGGUGUAUUCCACACGGUUCCUCAGAGGCGCUUGAAGGAUGGGGCCUCAGUGACCCACUGCAAUGACCAACUCAAUUGAGAGUGAGUGGAAGUCGCUGUCAUGUCUGACUCUUUGUGACCCCAAGGACUGUAGCCCGUCAGGCACCCCUGUCCCUGGGAUUCUCCAGGCAAGAAUACUGCAGUGGUUGGCAUGCAUGCGCUCCUCCAGGGGAAUCUGCCCUGACCCAGGGAUCGAACCCGAAUCUCCCACGUUGCAGGCAGAUUCUUUACCAUCUGACGCACCCUGUUUUAUUGUGUUACUCCUAUUCCCUGGCUUUCCUUAUCAAAACAAAUUACCUGCCCAAAUCCCAUCAUAGCAGCUCUGCUUCCCGAGGUGAGGUAGCGGGUGGGAUGGGGGUGUGUGGGCUAAGACAA